rnacentral:rRNA from 1 species
GAACGCUGGCGGUAUGCUUAACACAUGCAAGUCGAACGGACUUAGGGAGCUUGCUCCCGAAAGUUAGUGGCAAACGGGUGAGUAACGCGUGGGAAUCUCCCCAUCAGUACGGAACAACAUUUGGAAACAAAUGCUAAUACCGUAUAUUCUCGAGAGAGGAAAGAUUUAUCGCUGAUGGAUGAGCCCGCGUCGGAUUAGGUAGUUGGUGAGGUAAUGGCUCACCAAGCCGACGAUCCGUAGCUGGUCUGAGAGGAUGAUCAGCCACACUGGGACUGAGACACGGCC